AACGCACAUUGCGCCCGCCAGUAUUCUGGCGGGCAUGCCUGUUCGAGCGUCAUUUCAACCAUCAAGCCCCAGGCUUGUGUUGGGGGCCUGCAGCUGCUGCAGCCCCCUAAAAGCAGUGGCGGACUCGCUGUCAUUCCGAGCGCAGUAGUUACAUCUCGCUCUGGGCAUGGCGGCGGGCACCUGCCGUGAAACACUCUUUCUAAGGUUGACCUCGGAUCAGGUAGGAAUACCCGCUGAACUUAA
rnacentral:misc_RNA from 1 species